rnacentral:lncRNA from 1 species
GGCCAUGCGAGUUGCCGCAGACACGGCUGCAAGAAAAGAUCCAAACCACCACGCGUCAGGGCAUAAAACCAUCAAGCGAUCCAAGGCGCGUGAAUCAUGUGCAUCUAAGACGAGUAUUGCAUAAGAUUUAGAGCUAAGCUACGGGCUUGCGCCACGGAUCUACAGGUGGAGACAUGAAGCGCAUCUUGCUACCGAUCUAGGAAGGGGCGUGGUACAACCUUCCAACCGAUCGAGGGAAGGGAGUAGAGAGAGGAUCA